CUGUUGGGUAGGGGAGCGUUGUGUAAGCGGAAGAAGGUUCAUCGAGAGGUGGGCUGGACGUAUCACAAGUGCGAAUGCUGACAUAAGUAACGAUAAAACGGGUGAAAAACCCGUUCGCCGGAAGACCAAGGGUUCCUGUCCAACGUUAAUCGGGGCAGGGUGAGUCGGCUCCUAAGGCGAGGCUGAAAAGCGUAGUCGAUGGGAAACAGGUUAAUAUUCCUGUACUUGGUAAAGCUGCGAUGUGGGGACGGAGUAGGUUAGGUUAUCGCACUGUUGGAUAUGUGCGUUUAAGUUGGUAGGUGGGAAGUUUAGGCAAAUCCGGACUUCCUUAACACAGAGAGAUGAUGACGAGGCUCUACGGAGCUGAAGUAACUGAUACCACACUUCCAGGAAAAGCCACUAAGCGAAAGGCUUUACUAAACCGUACUGAAAACCGACACAGGUGGUCAGGUAGAGAAUACUCAGGCGCUUGAGAGAACUCGGGUGAAGGAACUAGGCAAAAUAGCACCGUAACUUCGGGAGAAGGUGCGCCGGCGUAGAUUGUAAGGGCUAGCCCCUGAAGGUUGAACCGGUCGAAGAUACCAGCUGGCUGCAACUGUUUAUUAAAAACACAGCACUCUGCAAACACGAAAGUGGACGUAUAGGGUGUGAUGCCUGCCCGGUGCUGGAAGGUUAAUUGAUGGUGUCAUCGAAAGAGAAGCACCUGAUCGAAGCCCCAGUAAACGGCGGCCGUAACUAUAACGGUCCUAAGGUAGCGAAAUUCCUUGUCGGGUAAGUUCCGACCUGCACGAAUGGCAUAAUGAUGGCCAGGCUGUCUCCACCCGAGACUCAGUGAAAUUGAAAUCGCCGUGAAGAUGCGGUGUACCCGCGGCUAGACGGAAAGACCCCGUGAACCUUUACUAUAGCUUGACACUGAACAUUGAAUUUUGAUGUGUAGGAUAGGUGGGAGACUUAGAAGUAGGAACGCCAGUUUCUAUGGAGUCAUCCUUGAAAUACCACCCUUUAACGUUUGAUGUUCUAACGAAGACUACGGAACGUGGUCUCGGACAGUGUCUGGUGGGUAGUUUGACUGGGGCGGUCUCCUCCCAAAGCGUAACGGAGGAGCACGAAGGUUUGCUAAUCACGGUCGGACAUCGUGAGGUUAGUGCAAUGGUAUAAGCAAGCUUAACUGCGAGACAGACAAGUCGAGCAGGUACGAAAGUAGGUCAUAGUGAUCCGGUGGUUCUGAAUGGAAGGGCCAUCGCUCAACGGAUAAAAGGUACUCCGGGGAUAACAGGCUGAUACCGCCCAAGAGUUCAUAUCGACGGCGGUGUUUGGCACCUCGAUGUCGGCUCAUCACAUCCUGGGGCUGAAGUAGGUCCCAAGGGUAUGGCUGUUCGCCAUUUAAAGUGGUACGCGAGCUGGGUUUAGAACGUCGUGAGACAGUUCGGUCCCUAUCUGCCGUGGGCGUAGGA
rnacentral:rRNA from 1 species